AAAUAAGAGGAACACAAUAGGAAACAAACAUAAAUCUAAGGUUCACCACCAAUAUCCACUCAUAUCACAAGUCAAUAUAAGAGGUACCUCUUAUAUAUCCAAGAAAAAACAAAGGAAAGGGAAAACAAAAUGAUAGUUCAUCCCAAAAUCUAAAGGAAGAGGAGGUCUUGAAUUUCCUUGGAAUCUUCUCCAAUUGGAGGUCAUGAUCACUCCAAUGAAGUCUUCUCCCUUGGGAUGCCUUGAUUCCGCAAGUGCUAGAUAUAUUGAGCAAAGUAAUCACAAGUUCUUAGUGGACAAUUUUGCUAACUACCUUCGAUCCGUUUUGGAUUGUAGUAAUAGCCUUCUUCCCUAGAGACCUAGGAUUUAUUGAAUCUAGGAAGUGAUUAAGCUAGGCAAGGUUACUUCUAACAAGCCUUUGCUAUCGCAUAAUGUAUUUGUCCUUAGACCAACACAAAAAUGAAAUCAUAGUGAUCUUAAAUGAUAAGAGAAAUAAGCCAGAGCAGAGGUGAAAGUGCAUUUGUUCCUAAAUGGUGUUUUUGUGUAAUGACAAUGUGUUUAGUGGGACUAAUGACGAUUACUAAGUUUAUCUUAGGCCAUUGGUCCCUGUGAGGUUAUUUUAAAGGAGAUGGUUGAAUCCCCACUUCAAAAAGAAAAGACAAAACGUGGUUCUCCAACGAAUCAAAGUUUUGCUUUGGUUUAUUGAGUCAUAGGAUCACCGCACUAUUAAGAGGGUCGAGAUGCUCAGAUGAAAAGUGUGGGCCAGCCCUCCCAAUUUCAUCCACCACAAAAAAGCCAAACUCUUCUUCAGGAUGUGUCCAUUGACUGCAUACCCCGUGCACACAUGGUACAAGGGCCGUGCACACGGGGCCAAUGACUAAUGUAUGGACACCCUGUGCACAGUUGGGGCUGAAACUCUUUGGACACCCCGUAAGGUGCUCGAUGUAGACGGGUCGUCCGGCCAUUGCCCGGAUCUUCCGGCCCUUCCCCGGAUGCUCUGCCCAGAUGCCUAUCCAAAGAGCAUAUUUAGUCUGGGCUGGCCCGGAUGUUCCGGACUCUGUCCUAGAUGUCGGGCCAGCCUGUGAUCCACCACCAGCAGGUUUGCACUGCCGGAUGUUCUGGGUUUCCUCCCGGGCGUCUGGGCUUCCCCGGAUGAUUUGCCCGGACAAUCACACAGAGAGCACCACGGGUUGGCUAUAUUAGCUCAACUGCCCAGCAGUUGACCUAACUUGACUGUCCUGAUACCAAGCCAGAUCAUCCGGGUUCCUAUCCGGACGUCCGGGCACUUAAACCCACAGCUCAAACUGCUCCUUUCUUGAGCAGCUAUAUAUACCCCUCUACCACUCCAGUAGAGGGUUGACCACUACACUCUAAUUCAUCCCCAAGAACACCAGUGCUCCCUCUCACUCUUGUCCACACCCAAUCUUAGAUCCCGAAGAGAUUUGUGAGAGUUCUUGAGAAAUUCCACUAAGUGAUAGAUCCACUCCCUCCUUCCUCUUUUGACCAAAGCAAAUUGUGAUUUGAGCAAGUCUUGAGCAUUUCUUUCUGGUCUUAUUACUCUUGGAGGUUGGAUACUCCCUAGAUGGUAGGAGUUCUAUAGAGAGGAAUCGUUCAUUAUGAUUACCCCCAGAAAGUUUGUGAAGGUUUGGAAGCCGCCUCAAGGUCUACCACUAGUGGUUGAGAAUCGCCUUCGUGGUGAUAUCUCAAGGAGAAUAGGGUGAACCUUCCUGGUGUAGGUGUGCCUUCAUGGUAACACCCAUCCCUCCAAGGAAGUGAACAUCGGGAUACAUCCUCGUCUCCGAAGUUUCAGUUAUCCCUAACCUUAACUCCUUGUGGUUUACUUGUCUCCUUGUUUUUACUUUUUAUAUCUAUUGUGGUUGCUUGUCCUUCUAGUUGUUGUUGAGUAUAUUGCUAGCUCUAGAAUCACCUUUGCAAUUGUUAGGCUCAUUUUCUUAUUUCGCAUAAUUGCCAAAAAUUGCUAAGUAGUAACCCGAGCGGCCAGUCACGGCGACCACCUGGUCAGCUAUAAAAAGAGCCCCUCCCCCUCAGCUUAGAGCACCCGUCUCCUCUCCUAUCUCCUAAUUGAGGCUCUGCACCAGGAGAAGCUCUGCGGUACCAGCCAUUCGAGCUCCGAGCCGCCGCGACUCUCAACUCUGGUAGCUCCCUCCCUCCUUCCCCGGUCAAAAAAGCGAGAGCUGAAGUCAUACCCUGUGCCUGGAGCUUAAUGCCCGCCUCCGUGCGCGCUCUCCUACACAGAGCUCCUGGACGAGGAGCCCUUGUGCCGCCACCGGAGUUGAAGAAGACGACGCGUUCCUGCAACUCCGGCCGCCGUGUAGCCCACGGACCAGAAGUAAUCGACGCCCCCGACCAAUCUGCACCACCCCCGAGCACCGCCGCUUCCUCCAGCUCCGGCUAUCGCCGCGCCGAUAGUUAAUGGGGCUUGGAAGUUUAACGGGCUCGAUUCAUGGAUAUGGUUUAGCAUCUACAUUUACAGAAAAUAUAGUGGAGAAGCAAAAUAUACUGAGGACCGCACCAUGGCCCUAAUAAACAAAAUAUUCUGUAUGUAUCUUGAUUAAUAAUUUAUUUUAUCAUCUUUGUUGUAUACUUUGGAAUUAACACCAUUUGUUGUUUGUAGAUCUAAAUAAUUGAUGUAUUAGCGGGAUGCUCUCUUUCUUUGAUUUUAGUGUAAGCAAGCAAUUGCAUAUCUCUUAUAUGUUGCCUUUUUUUGGAAAAGGUAAAGCAUUUUUUUGCUAGAAAUAAUGUUGCAUAACUUCUACUUACCAAGAAGUAAUUUCGCUUUGUUGUGUUAAUAAUGAGCGGUCUUUACUUUUCCAUUGUAAUGGAUGAAUAUAAUGGGCUUGCAUACUUAUCCGAGUGACUAACAUAAGAUGCCAUUAUUGGUUUCAUCUACAGAGAAAACGACUUUGGGGAGAUCUUGCAGUCUUAGUAGAUGAAAGGCAUAAUAUAACUAUGCUUCUUAAUUAUAGAAGUACAAUAUAAAUUUGUUGUCAGACCUACUCUUACUCAUGUGAAAUUGUUCCAUGACUUAUUGUGUGGCAAAAUAUUUCGAUAAGCACAUUAGACUAUAAUGAUGCUGGUCCGAAUUGACACAUGUACUUGCUAAGCUAAUGCACAAUCACUAUGUUCUUUUCUUUCCAGUCUCAGGAAAUUGGUUUUA